CUUCUUAAGACAUAAAAGGAACAAAAAACCUUCAAGCGGCCAGACAUGUGGUUUUGUAGUCUGUUGACCGACCCAUAGAUUAUUUGCUGGGCAAAAUGAGGUUAUGUCUGCAAUGUGUGUUCCUUGGAAAACAUAAAGUUUCCACCAAGGCGAACUGAAUGGAACUACUAUUGGCGCAAAAAAAAAAACUAAA
rnacentral:sRNA from 1 species